AAUAUUCCGCAAUGCACGCAAGUGUGACGGAGCAAUGCCGCGUGUGGGAUGAAGCAUUUCGGUGUGUAAACCACUGUCAGGGUCUAGGAAAUAUGACCAGGCCCAAAGGAAGAGACGGCUAACUCUGUGCCAGCAGCCGCGGUAAUACAGAGGUCUCAAGCGUUAAUCGGAAUUACUGGGCUUAAAGGGUCCGCAGGCGGACCAGCAAGUACCUUGUGAAAUCUCAGGUCUCAACCCUGAGUCUGCUGGGUAGACUGCUGGUCUUGAGUGCAAAAGGGGUCGCUGGAACUCUAGGUGGAGCGGUGAAAUGCGUAGAUAUCUAGAGGAACGCCAAAGGUGAAGACAGGCGACUGGUUUGCAACUGACGCUCAUGGACGAAAGCGUGGGGAUCAAAC
rnacentral:rRNA from 1 species